UACACUCCUACGGGAGGCAGCAGUGGGGAAUAUUGGACAAUGGGCGCAAGCCUGAUCCAGCCAUGCCGCGUGAGUGAUGAAGGCCCUAGGGUUGUAAAGCUCUUUCACCGGAGAAGAUAAUGACGGUAUCCGGAGAAGAAGCCCCGGCUAACUUCGUGCCAGCAGCCGCGGUAAUACGAAGGGGGCUAGCGUUGUUCGGAAUUACUGGGCGUAAAGCGCACGUAGGCGGAUCGAUCAGUCAGGGGUGAAAUCCCAGGGCUCAACCCUGGAACUGCCUUUGAUACUGUCGAUCUGGAGUAUGGAAGAGGUGGGUGGAAUUCCGAGUGUAGAGGUGAAAUUCGUAGAUAUUCGGAGGAACACCAGUGGCGAAGGCGGCUCACUGGUCCAUUACUGACGCUGAGGUGCGAAAGCGUGGGGAGCAAACAUGAUUAGAUACCCCGGUAGUCCCA
rnacentral:rRNA from 1 species